GGCGGGUUACCCAAGAGGACAACGGGAGCCGACUGUAACUCGGCCGCCUCAGGCUACGCAGGUUCGAAUCCUGCACCCGCCACCA
rnacentral:tRNA from 1 species